GAUGAACGCUAGCGGCAGGCUUAAUACAUGCAAGUCGAGGGGCAGCAUGACUGUAGCAAUACAGUUGAUGGCGACCGGCAAACGGGUGCGGAACACGUACAGAACCUUCCUUCGAGCGGGGAAUAGCCCAGAGAAAUUUGGAUUAAUACCACAUAGUACAACGGAGUGGCAUCCCUUUGUUGUUAAAGAUUUAUCACUUGAAGAUGGCUGUGCGGCUGAUUAGGUAGUUGGCGGGGUAACGGCCCACCAAGCCUGCGAUCAGUAACUGGUGUGAGAGCACGACCAGUCACACGGGCACUGAGACACGGGCCCGGCUCCUACGGGAGGCAGCAGUAAGGAAUAUUGGUCAAUGGACGAAAGUCUGAACCAGCCAUGCCGCGUGGAGGAUGAAGGUCCUCUGGAUUGUAAACUUCUUUUAUAUGGGACGAAAAAAGGGUUUUCUAACUCGUCUGACGGUACCAUAUGAAUAAGCACCGGCUAACUCCGUGCCAGCAGCCGCCGUAAUAC
rnacentral:rRNA from 1 species